CCUACGGGAGGCAGCAGUGGGGAAUCUUGCGCAAUGGGCGAAAGCCUGACGCAGCAACGCCGCGUGCGGGAAGAAGGCUUUCGGGCUGUAAACCGCUUUCAGCAGGAACGAAAAUGACGGUACCUGCAGAAGAAGGAGCGGCCAACUAUGUGCCAGCAGCCGCGGUGAUACAUAGGCUUCAAGCGUUGUCCGGAUUUAUUGGGCGUAAAGAGUUCGUAGGCGGUCGAGUAAGUCGGGUGUGAAAAUUCUGGGCUCAACCCAGAGACGCCACCCGAUACUGCUUGACUUGAGUUCGAUAGGGGAGUGGGGAAUUCCUAGUGUAGCGGUGAAAUGCGCAGAUAUUAGGAGGAACACCGGUGGCGAAGGCGCCACUCUGGAUCGAUACUGACGCUGAGGAACGAAAGCAUGGGUAGCAAACAGGAUUAGAUACCCUGGUAGUCCAUGACGUAACGGUAGGGCGACGUAGGUGGUGGUAGUUACUACUUAACGUAACGUUACCGUCCGCCGUCCGUCGUAACGACUAUUAAGUCGCCCGUCCCGUCGGGUAGGUACGGUCGCGAGACGUAAACUACGAAAGGUAAGUAGUACGCGUUGUAGACGUUGCCGACGGCGACGACGAGGGAGAGG
rnacentral:rRNA from 1 species